rnacentral:lncRNA from 1 species
UAAGUGCAUUCAAGAAGAAGCAAGAGCAUUCAUUGCUGACAUUCAAAGCAUUCUCAAAAGAGAGCUUCAACGACAACAAAUCAAUCGCUAUAAGGUUUUUUAUUGUUGUACUGAAUUUCUUCUCUAUAUUUACUAUAAAAGAUUCAGUAGGAGCUGAAACUUGAAGGGUUAAUUUGUACCAAAUUUGAAUUAGUUUGGG